GUUAAUAAAAAUUAUAAAUGGAUAACUAUAGUAAUUCUAAGGCUAAUACAUGUUAAAUUUUUUAUUAAAAAAAUUAUAUUUAAAAAUUAAAAGAAGUUUAUGUUUCUAGGUAUAAGUAAAUAUUGAGUAAUUUUAAAUAAAUGAAUUAAAAUAAAUAAUAUAUCAAUUAUGUAUUUGACCUAUCAGUUUGAAUAAUAAGACAUUGGCUUAAUAUAAUAAUGACGGGUAACAAAGGAUUAGGGUUUAAUUCAGGAGAGGGAGCUUGAAAAAUGGUUACCACAUUUAAGGAAGGCAGCAGGCACGUAAAUUAUCCAAUUUUAAGAAAAAGAGGUAGUGAUAAGGAAUAACAAUGCAAAAUAUAAAAAUUGUUUUGUAAUUAGAAUGAUAUGAAUAUAAAUAUUUUAUUAAAUAUAAAUUGGAGGGCAAGUCUGGUGCCAGCAGCCGCGGUAAUUCCAGCUUCAAUAAUAUAUAUUAAUGUUGUUGCAGUUAAAAAGCUCGUAGUUGAAGUUUUGAAAAUAAUCAUAGAGUUUUUUAUUUAUAUAUAAUUUAUUUUGUAAUUGUUGGUUUUAUAUAAGAAAUUUUAUAUGUUUGUAUAGUAAUUAAUUUUAUUAUUUUGAGGAAAUUAGAGUGUUUUAAGCAUGAUUUUUUAGUUGAAUAAUGGAGUAUGGAAUAAUAAAAUUGUAAUAAGAUUUAUUUUUUGUUGGUUUUAAAAUGUUAGUGAAUUAUUUUGAAGAAUAGUUGGGGGUAGUUGUAUUUAACAGUAAGAGGUGAAAUUCUUAGAUUUGUUAAAGAUAAAUUAUUGUGAAAGCAUUUAUUAAAAAUAUUUUUUUUAAUUAAGAGGAAAAGUUAGGGACUCGAAGACGAUCAGAUACUGUCGUAGUCUUAAUUAUAAACAAUGCCGAUUAUGGAUUAGAUGUUUUGAAUUAUUUGAAUUAUUUAGUAUUUGUAGAGAAAUCAAAGUUUUUAGGCUUUGGGGGGAGUAUUGUUGCAAGGUAGAAACUUAAAGGAAUUGACGGAAAGGCACCACCAGAAGUGGAGUAUGCGGUUUAAUUUGACUCAACACGGGAAAUUUUAUUAGGUCCAGACAUAGGAAGGAUUGAUAGAUUAAUAGUUUUUUUUUAAUUUUAUGGGUAGUGGUGCAUGGUUGUUCUUAGUUGGUGGAGUGAUUUGUCUGGUUAAUUCCGUUAACGAACGAGGCUUUAAUAUAUUAAAUAGAGAAAUAAUGUUUGAUAUGCUUUUAUUUUUGAUAUUUUUUUGAUGGAUUUUAUAUAUAUAAUAUAAGGAAGUUUAAGGUAAUAACAGGUCUGGAAUGCCCUUAGAUGUUUUAGGCUACACGCGCGCUACAAUAAUGUGAAUAAAUAGUUUAUAAUUAUAAUUGUUAAAAUAUAGUAAUCUUGUAAUAUACAUUUUAAUUGGGAUAGUAUAUUGUAAUUAUUAUUCUUAAACAAGGAAUUUCUAAUAAAUGCAAGUGAUAAUCUUGUGUUGAAUAUGUCCCUGCCUUUUGUACACACCGCCCGUCGCUCCUACUGAUUG
rnacentral:rRNA from 1 species